UCGAGGGGUAUAGUUCUUCGGAGCUAGAGACCGGCGCACGGGUGCGUAACGCGUAUGCAAUCUACCUUUUACAGAGGGAUAGCCCAGAGAAAUUUGGAUUAAUACCUCAUAGUAUGUGAGAAUCGCAUGGUUUUCACAUUAAAGUUCCAACGGUAAAAGAUGAGCAUGCGUCCCAUUAGCUAGAUGGUAAGGUAACGGCUUACCAUGGCGACGAUGGGUAGGGGUCCUGAGAGGGAGAUCCCCCACACUGGUACUGAGACACGGACCAGACUCCUACGGGAGGCAGCAGUGAGGAAUAUUGGACAAUGGGCGCAAGCCUGAUCCAGCCAUGCCGCGUGCAGGAUGACGGUCCUAUGGAUUGUAAACUGCUUUUGUACAGGAAGAAACACUCCCUCGUGAGGGAGCUUGACGGUACUGUAAGAAUAAGGAUCGGCUAACUCCGUGCCAGCAGCCGCGGUAAUACGGAGGAUCCAAGCGUUAUCCGGAAUCAUUGGGUUUAAAGGGUCCGUAGGCGGUUUAAUAAGUCAGUGGUGAAAGCCCAUCGCUCAACGGUGGAACGGCCAUUGAUACUGUUAAACUUGAAUUAUUAGGAAGUAACUAGAAUAUGUAGUGUAGCGGUGAAAUGCUUAGAGAUUACAUGGAAUACCAAUUGCGAAGGCAGGUUACUACUAAUGGAUUGACGCUGAUGGACGAAAGCGUGGGUAGCGAACAGGAUUAGAUACCCUGGUAGUCCACGCCGUAAACGAUGGAUACUAGCUGUUGGGCGCAAGUUCAGUGGCUAAGCGA
rnacentral:rRNA from 1 species